UACGUAGGGGGCAAGCGUUGUCCGGAAUUAUUGGGCGUAAAGGGCGUGUAGGCGGUAUGAUAAGUCAGAUGUGAAAGUUCGGGGCUUAACCCCGGAAUUGCAUUUGAAACUGUCAUACUUGAGUACUGGAGAGGUAAGUGGAAUUCCUAGUGUAGCGGUGAAAUGCGUAGAUAUUAGGAGGAACACCAGUGGCGAAGGCGACUUACUGGACAGAUACUGACGCUGAGGCGCGAAAGCGUGGGGAGCAAACAGG
rnacentral:rRNA from 1 species